rnacentral:lncRNA from 1 species
CUAUAUCGUUUGCGAAAAGCAUACACCAAGGAAUAUCAUCUUGAAUAUGUCCUGUUAACUCAUCCAUUACCAAUGCAAAAAGGUAAGGACUUAAGGAUUGUUGAUGCACAAAAUCAGUGAGGACUUUGGUACAACAAAAAGUAUUAAGUUUGUGAUCUUCACUAGAUUGCUCUGGUCAUUAGUGUGGAUAAGUAUGUAAAUGGAUAGAGACAGGAAAGCAAACACAAGAUG